AUUUGGGAACAUUUCUGCUAUUUCUAAUUCACAGCCUAGACGAAGCUCUUUCUCACAAUUGAAUUUCGAGAUUGUGUUGAACUAGUCAGAUGUGUGUCCUAAAUGAAUGAUUGACGUAUCUUUUCUCUGUCUCUCUAGGUGGUGAGUAAUCUUCUGCAUUCUGGCUGGAUUCCCAAAACAUUGCAUGUGCACAAUGCCUUUUUUUUUCCAUUUUGAAUAAAG